rnacentral:lncRNA from 1 species
UUUGAUUAGUUUUUUUUCAAAAUAUUUUAUUGAUAUUUAAAUUACUGGUGAGGAAGAACUUACUUCUAUAAUUUUCAAGAUUUGUUGAUUUCUUAUAAUUUUUUUCUACUAUUAAAAUCUGUGAUUUAUUGAUUGUGGUGUGGGUGACUCAAAACCUUUAGAUGGAGACCUGAAUCCAAGACACAAGCAUGCACAGAAGGAGGCACCAAAUGACAUUCAGGAUCAUGAUGGGGAUGUGUUAAAGGGCAGUACACAACAAAUGGUCAGAUGAUUGGUGGGACAGGAAGGUUAGGGCUGUGGACAGAGAAUCAGCAGAUCAUUGCUGUACUCAGAAACCCCAGAGAUUCAUCUACAAGUGUCAGAUAUAUAAUUGUGUGCAGAAGCCCACAGGUAUGAUGGGGCUCAGUCCACCAAUAAAAUAGCCAUAUUAACAGGAGAACAGUAAAGGAACCCAAGAGUUUAAGGAAAGGCAGAACUUUUAGGAAGAGCUUGCUUCAUCAGACUUGGUGUUAAUUGUUGAAUAAAGACAAAGAUGACAGGAGCACCCAGACACAUAUAUCAAUGUUACUUGUGUGAUAAGAAUAAAGUGCUUGAGCCUGGUGUCAUGACACAUGGAGGUUGUGGCAGAGGAUUACAAGUUCAAUACCAGCCUCCCCCACACAGAUUUUGAAGAUAAAGCUGGGGUCAGGUGGAGUACUGCUGUCUGAUGGAGAAGCAGAUCUAAAGAGUUAUGCCAGCAAUCUUUAUUUAUAUAUGUCUCAUUAUCAGGCUAACGACUAUGCAAGCAUUAUUCCUUGUAUUUGGAAAGUUUCCAAACUAAAAACCUCUAUACAGAUUUCCCACAGUUGCAAUGUGAAUGUUAGGAGUUUUGCUUAGCAAACCUGAAGGUCCAAUGUAUAAAGUUACUGUUAAGCAGGCAGGCUCAGGAUUAGCAGAACUGGUGAAACACUGUGGUUAUUUGCAUGAGAAUUCCUCUAUCUCAGGGAGGUAUGUGCCUGAGAUCAAAGUCAAGACUGAUAAGCACAGAGCCUCCACAGGCAGGGCUUUACCAUAGCAGCUAAGUAUCCUAUGCCUCUGCACAGAAACAUUCCCAGGCACCAGGCAAGCCCCAGCCAUGAGGUCAUCAGAGACCCCAAUCUCAGUCACAUCUUUCAAUUUUUUUUUGUCACCAGUCUCCACAGAGGUGAAGUCCUGUCCUCAUGGGGAAAUAAACAGGCUAUGGGGCUCGAGAUUCCCAGCCCCCUUUCUAUCUGAUUCAAGGCUUCAUCUUUCAUACACUGAAUGAUUAUGGACACAGGUGCCAUAGUUACAGAAGAGUCAAGAGCAAAGGCUGAUGUAGGAUACAGGGAGAAAGUGAGGGUCCUGCAGGCAGAUUCUUGAAGAGAGACAGAAAGAGUGGGCUCUGGGGGCUGAGACCCACAGGGACAGUGUCAGUGGACAGCUCUGCAGAGGACAGCCUCUUCCCUCAACACAGCACAAGAUCCUCCUUGAGAGGAUGGGAGAGGGCAGUGGCUCUAAAAGCAACAGGGCAGCUGCCAUCACUGCUCCACAGGUGCUGGUGGGUUUUCCUGGGCUCACCACCAGUCAGGUGCUGUGCCCUACCCCUCUGGAAUGUUGAGGGAUUCAAUCACAACAGCUCUCAAGCAGGCAUUCUUAAAGAGGGGGACAUUGAGAUGGAGUGAGGCUGAUGACUUUCUUAAGCCACAGAACUAUUCAAGAUACAGCACAGGGGCUUUAUCCAGGAGUCCUGGCUCCAGAUAUACAAUGCAGCCAUUCCUGCCUGAGGACAAGGGACCUUUUUUUGUUGAGUUGGGUCAGCUAUUAAAAUCCUCUCUACACUGAGAGUGGGAGGGUUGAGUGAUGGAAUGACAGAUGCCAGCUCCUGCCAGAGCAGAUAGCAAGAAUUUGCCCCAUGUGGGGAAAAUAGUCUGUCUUAAAGUUUCUGCCCCUCUAACACACCCUGUGUGUAUAUCAUAGCCCAUCCCCUGCAUGGGGAUCAAGCUUCCAACCCUCUUCAUAUGAAGCUUAAGUCCUGGGUGUCUUGGGUUUUCAUUGUCCUGGACUUCAGUUCAUAGAGUAGAAAACAAGUCCUGUCCUGGAACUGAGGCUAGAGAGCCAACUCAGGAGGAGGCCAGUCUGGGAAAGCCCCAAGCUUUAUUUCUCCCUAACCCAAGGAACAGACCAGAGAGUCUUUCUGUGGAAGCUUCACCCUGUUUUUGAGGAGUAGGAUAGAGGCAAACUUGUGGUUGUGGACAAAGUGACCCAGAGUUACUUGGGCUUAGAGGGGGCCUUAUUGAUAGCUGGAGGGAGAUUUGCAAUCCCAUUAGGUGGUUUAGGGGUCUACUACUUGUGUUGGUGGAACCUUACUUUUCUGUAUUUUAUUGAAAUUGUGCAAUAGAACACACAUCUAGAAAGAGCACAGUAUCCCUUUAUGAUCAUUAAUAGGCAAUUGAAGUGAACACUCAGGUGCCACAUUAGGAUGCAAGCACUCCUAGAAAGCUUCUGUCCCCUUGAUCAACAAACAAAAGCCUCCCACAUCAUCACUUGCUGUCUCAGGCAGUGGCUUUCUGUGUUCAUCUGUUUUCACACUGCCCAAUGCUGCUCACU